UCUCUACGUAAAAAUAGUAUCGUUUCUAUCUUCUCGUUAUCAACAAACAAACAGAUUAGUUAACUAUCUAGGUUUUGCCUGGGCGACACUUUCAUCACCGGCUGUACACGGAGGAUCAGCGUCGUCGUGAGUAUUCUUCUGCCGCCGGCGAGACAGUGAAAUAACAGCUGGCCGUUGUCGUUGUGAGUACCACACAAGCCAGAUGCCAAUGUGACGACAGGAGUAAGGCGUUUAGCAAGGCAACCGGAGGAAAACCAACGAUGUCUCCUCAGAGCGUACACAAGGUGUCACCGAUGUGGAGCCGUCGCCGGUGACGGCUAUCCGCUCCGGUUUUGAUUGGCAACUUCCUCCACUGGUGUGUGGUAUUACACUGGAUGUACCACGGGCGCAACUAGCCGUCGGCGACGAGCUGACUACUCCUGCAUCGACCCCAAGCUCUGGAACCUAUGCAUCGAUAGAAACAAGACUAUAUUGUGUAUAUCAAAAGUUCAGUAUCAUGUAGAGAUGUAGAAAUUAUGGACGAACAGUUUGUAUUGGUCUACGCGUACAUAUGUCUGCAGUAUAUCAUACAAUAUACUA